NCCUGUGCUGUGACAUUUAUUGCUGCAUCAAUAUGGUUCCAGUAAAUUAAUGAAUUCUUGUUUCUCUUAUAGACCACCUAUCCCUCAAAUGGCCCUCCAGCCUAAUACUUCUCAAUUGGACUUUUAUCAUGGACCACUCGAUAGACCCGAUUAUUAAAGGGGGACUCCAAACUGCUUGCCCCACACAGUCCCUUUUCAGCCUGAAGAAGCCAGAAAGAUUCUCUUCGCCCCCCCCCCCCCCUCCUUACAGCAGUGAGGAGUUCCCAAAUUAGACUACAAUCUUCUUAGAGUUGAAAUUUAUAGAGGAGGUUUGAUGACUAGCAUGUGUUGAAUUUACAAAGCAUGGCUUGGAAAAUUAUACUACAUACACAAAUUCUUUCAUAUGAUGUAUGGUCUGCAAAUACAUAUAUCUGGUAGUAGUUUAAUGAAUAAACACAGAAGCAUUCCUAUAUUAAUUGUUAGACCUCAAGUUUGCUAAAUGAUGGGAAAGUAAUUGGUUACCUCAAGAAACUAAUGUUGAGAUGGAAGAGAAACAAAAGAUAUAUAGAGAGGAAACAAUUUUAUGGGAAAAGUAAUUUAAUGGAGGAAGUAAGUAGUUCCUCAGCCUUUACAGGAUAACCUCCUACUUCUUUAUGUGCAUGAAGUCUCUGGGAGUUGUGUCUUGCCAAUAGACCUUACCUGUCUUAUCUAUAGUCAUAUACUUAGGGUAGGGAUAUUAAACUCUGAUAAGUAGUUCCUGGUUCCUAAAUUCACAGAAAGCCUGCAUCUUUCAUAAGUUUUUGGCAAAUUCCUGGUUCAAGAUUUAGUUUAAGCGACUCCAUCUUUUAGAACACUCCUUAAGCUGCUUAAGUAGAGUGGGCUUUUGAUUUCUUGGGUCAGCUUUAUUAAAAGGAAGUAUAUGUCACUAUAAUUUAUUUUUCCCCAGCUAUUUUUAGUUUCAUACAUAUACCUCCUCUAGUUUAUUGUGAAUUCCUUGAUGUCCAAACUAUGUUGUAUUUGACUUCAAAUACCAAGUAGAACAUAUGAAACAAAAUAAGUACCACUGUAUAUCUUUGUUGAAUAGAUUAUUAGAGAUGCUGCCUUGGGAAUAAAAUUAAUUAAGAAAUUCUAGCCAUUACUUUUAAUUCACCUUGGAGCUAGUGUAAUAGAGGAAAAAAAUCACCAGAUCAAGAUCAGCAGUCCUGAAUUCUUUUCUUGCCUCUCCCAUUAAAUAUCUGUGACCUUGGAUCAGACAGAAAAUAUCCUUUAACUUAAACUAUAAAAUAAGAAUGCUAACUUAGGUACCAG
rnacentral:lncRNA from 1 species